GAGAGAGAGAGAGAGAGAGAGAGAGAGAUUGGCCGACGCGGGGAUCAGAUUUAGCCGGCACGAGCGAUGCGUGAGACGUGGAAUCCGUCGAUCGAGCCGACGCGAGUGAUUCGUCUGCGAGGGAGAAAAGAGGGGAUCCAGCCGACGCUGGCGAGCAGUCAAGCGGAAAGGGGAUGCAAAGCUGCCGAGCGGCCGUGCGUGUCUCCCCGGCUGAUGCGGAAACGGUAUGCGAAACUGAUCCGUCGGCGGUUGAUGCGACCAGUAGAUCUUCCGUUUCUCAAAUCCAUUAAUGGUUUUGAAGGUGCACCAUUUAUCUCGCCGCAUGUCUAUAUUUCUACAGGUGCUAUCAGAUACUAAUUGAUCAAAAAAAAUCCGGACAAUUGGGGAAAGGUUUUGGUUCUGGUAUACUGGUUUGCAAGUGAAGGUUUGAGAAUUGGAGAAUUGGGGAAGGUUUGUUCAAUGAAGGUUGGUCACCAAGCCAUCAAUUCUGCUUUGCAAGUACACCGGAUGGUUCAAAUGGGGGCGACAUGCUAUUGAUAUUCACGCCUGCUAUGUGCCCUUCCCCUCACCACCAGGCAAGAUUCAAAGGUAUUGAAUCUCGGCUCCUCAACUACUGCUCGUUGCCCUUCCGAGGCUCGAUUUUUUCCUUAAUCCUCUCUGUUUGUAUUUCCACCUUAAUUUGGCUAAGGAUUAACAGGAUCUUUCCACCUUAAUUUGGCUAAGGAUUAACAGGAUCCUUGUAUGUGUUGAUUGCCCGGGAUGUGGUGCUGCAAAAUAAAUCCCCAGUUCGUCCAAUGAGUAAGAUAGGUGCCCUCCGGAUCAUGUUUCUUUGUUGUGAUAAGACCUUAUACGCCAUGUAUUUAGAUUUCCUGAAACCCUGUGAUUAGGACGGUCUUGUCCUCGGCACACCGCUGUACCUGCACGCAUGCACACCCACAAAUUAGAUCCACACAUAAUGUGAGUUCGGUCGGAACAAACAUGCAUGAGCCGUGGACACAAGGCACUCACACCAUGUAUUACGCCAACGUCUCUGUGUGUGUAAUGCACAAUUACAUAUCUAGCUCAUCGCAUGCAUACGAUGUGAGAUCACACACAUUUAGGUCGCAUUCUUCUCCUUUAUAUGUAUUCCCCUACUCAAUUCCAUUAGAUGCUUUCCUUAUUUAUUUUCAUGACUUUGCUUAUUGCUUCUUAUUAUAAAAAUAGCUAGAAAUGCGAAGUUACGGGAUUGGCAGUGUUGUGAGUUCCAGAUUCAUCAAGGCAUCGGAGCGAGCAACGAGUUCUCCUGUAUUUUUUUAUAGUGAAUGUAUGAUCCUUUCCUGCCAUGAUGCCAAGUUAGAACCUAACUAUUUGAUGCUGUCAUCUAAUGCGUUAUGGUAAGCUGUAUAAACUAGACGGAUUACAUCAAUUCAUAGUGUUUCAUUCAUUGCCGCUGUCUGAAACAAUAUGUAGAUGUAUUAAUGCUUGGUGUGUGCCAAUCCAAGAGGAGAUACAUUGUUAGUGCUGCCAGCUAGCUGGUCAGAAUUGAAAAGUCAGUGACUGAUCAGUCAUGGUGUAAAAAUAUUUGAUAAGUGUCCCCUUGGUCCAUGAUAUGAGUAGUUAUUUAAAUAGCGCACUAAGAAAAUUUCAAAAUAAGCAUCCCCUAAACAGGCUAGCUAACAUAUAAAAGUACAAAGAUAAAUUGUCAGCUUUUGCUCUUCUUUGAAGUUAAGAUUUUACCUCAUCAUGUAUCCUUUUGUAUACCUCGUUAUAUAUUGUAUAGUUUUGUUUCAUGAUAAAGAGUCUAUUCUGGAAAAUGGUACCAGAGUAAUCUGAUUCAUAUAUAUGUAGAAGAUAAAAGAGGAGCUCUAAAAGGAUUUUCCAUAGAGUUGCAACAUCUUGUGGACGACAACAUGUACCAAGAGAUCUUCUAAACUACAUUCUGUAUAAAGAACUUACUAAAGUCGGCUAUAAUGUGUAAGUUGUAAUGCAUCUUGUGAGGCAUGGGUCCUUUUGUCAUGAGAUUAUUUUGAUAUUCCAGCUUGGAUGUUAUAUUCUCAUUAUUCAUGAUCAGGAUGACCGGUGAUGAGAUUUAAAAUGUCUUCUAUUUUCAAGUCAUGUUAAUGUUCAUUAUUAGUGUCAGCAAAUGGUUAACUUUGAUAACAACAUUAUGGAUGAGACAUGAGAAUUUAGGAAUAUGUGAUUGAAUGGCCUUGAAAAAAUCAUCGGAAAAAUAUAUGACAUGAGGGCUAACAUUUCUUAUUUUUGCUUGGACUUAGGGGAAAAUAGGUUCCAUGUGCUGAAGAUAGCUUCCAGGGUUCCCUAAAAAUACUUCCAAGGAAAAUCUUAUUGUAUUUUCUUGUUCUUAGAUUCCACAAUAAAUCAGGUUAUGCUAAAGAUAGCUCCAGGGCAAUCAUUUUUUCUGCUUUCCUUCCCCAAUUCUAAUGUGAUUGAUGAGAAAGUCUCUAUGAGACCAAUCAUCUUUUGAAACCUCUAUAUACAUGCAACCACAACGCACUAUUGUGAGCCAGUUUA